UGCCAGACUCCUACGGGAGGCAGCAGUGAGGAAUAUUGGUCAAUGGACGAGAGUCUGAACCAGCCAAGUAGCGUGAAGGAUGACUGCCCUAUGGGUUGUAAACUUCUUUUAUAAAGGAAUAAAACGAGGCACGUGUGCCUUUUUGCAUGUACUUUAUGAAUAAGGAUCGGCUAACUCCGUGCCAGCAGCCGCGGUAAUACGGAGGAUCCGAGCGUUAUCCGGAUUUAUUGGGUUUAAAGGGUGCGUAGGCGGUCCGUUAAGUCAGCGGUAAAAUUGCGGGGCUCAACCCUGUCGAGCCGUUGAAACUGGCAGACUUGAGUUGGCGAGAAGUACGCGGAAUGCGCGGUGUAGCGGUGAAAUGCAUAGAUAUCGCGCAGAACUCCGAUUGCGAAGGCAGCGUACCGGCGCCAGACUGACGCUGAGGCACGAAAGCGUGGGGAUCGAACAGGAUUAGAUACCCCUGUAAAA
rnacentral:rRNA from 1 species